UAGGGCCAGGGCCAGCUUCGCAGAAAAGGAAACCCUCACAAGGAUUCCCAUGCUGACCAUUCAUCAAUGUUCCUCCAAUUAGCAAUCUUUCACCAAGUAAAGGCUGCUUUAUGGCCUCGGAAUGUUGGUUGUCUUCCAAAAGGUACACUGAAGAGGUUUCUGGGGACCUAAAGAUAGUACUGGUAUUUGGCAUGAUGAUAACGCUGAAGAUGCUAAAUAGAUAGCCAUCAUCUCAUUAUUCAACCAGCAAAUGCAUCAGCCACUCUUCUAGCACUUGGAACAGACUGAUGAGUGAAUGCAUUCUCUACCCUCAGGAGCUCACAGAGAGUAGAGGAAACAGACACAUAACACAGAUUCCCCCAUGCUGGAUGAAGCUGCCGCCAUGUUGAGAGAGCAGCCUGUGAAGAAGCUAACAUGAGUGAUGAAAUACUGAGGGCUCAGUCCAAUAGCCUGGGAGAAGCGGAAAUUUGCUCACUCCCAUGUGAGUGUCUUAGUAGAGGAUCCUUCGGCGCUAGUCAAGUUGAGAUGGCUGGAGCCCCAACCAACAUCUUGACUCCCAACUGGUGGGAGACCUAAGAACCUGAACUACCCACCUCUAUGCUGCCCCUUGAAUUCCUGAGUCACAGAAACUGAGGUCAUAAAAGUUUGUUGUUUAAGUUGCUCA